GUGGUUGAUGGUGAUAUUGUUUGU
rnacentral:siRNA from 1 species